rnacentral:rRNA from 1 species
AUUGAACGCUGGCGGCAGGCUUAACACAUGCAAGUCGAGCGGAGAUGAGGUGCUUGCACCUUAUCUUAGCGGCGGACGGGUGAGUAAUGCUUAGGAAUCUGCCUAUUAGUGGGGGACAACAUUCCGAAAGGAAUGCUAAUACCGCAUACGUCCUACGGGAGAAAGCAGGGGAUCUUCGGACCUUGCGCUAAUAGAUGAGCCUAAGUCGGAUUAGCUAGUUGGUGGGGUAAAGGCCUACCAAGGCGACGAUCUGUAGCGGGUCUGAGAGGAUGAUCCGCCACACUGGGACUGAGACACGGCCCAGACUCCUACGGGAGGUAGCAGUGGGGAAUAUUGGACAAUGGGGGGAACCCUGAUCCAGCCAUGCCGCGUGUGUGAAGAAGGCCUUAUGGUUGUAAGGCACUUUAAGCGAGGAGGAGGCUACUGAGACUAAUACUCUUGGAUAGUGGACGUUACUCGCAGAAUAAGCACCGGCUAACUCUGUGCCAGCCGCCGCAGUAA